UGUUCUCGUGUCUUUUCCGUGUCCGAGUGCAGACAGAAUGACUCAUCCGAAACCAGGAGAAAGGAAACUGCUCCCAUCUUUUCAUCUGGAUUUUGUUCCAACAAUUAUUCUGUCAAAAGGUUUUUGUUCUGUUGUGCUUCAUGAUGCUGCUGCACCUUAACGUUAGUCUUGUGUUCGGGUCAGCGCCGACCCGGUUUGGUUUUUAUUUGCAUUGAAGAAUCGGUUCUAAUUCAUUCAUCCCAUCUCUCGUUUUACUUUAUGAGCUUGAUUUAAACGAAAUUCAAGUUUUACAUGUUUUAUUCUAAAAUGUUAAAUUUUGUCAUUUCUGGUGUUAGGGUCAGUUUGACCCGGUUAUAUCAACUAACUUUAGAAAGCAAUAAUUCAAACCAUUCCUGGAUUCUCCUCUUCUUCAUGUGAGCUUCAGGGAUGCUCGUCUUCCAGUACAGCAGCAAAAAGCAAAAUUAAUAAACUAGACUUCAUUCGGAUCCUGCUCUACCCAAUAGAUACACAGAGAAGCCUCAAAGGAGAAACCAAACUGUGAUGAGGCUAAACGGACUUCUGAGGUUCCCACAUCGAGAGGCCGUCAUCCCGUCACAGUUCUUUCUGUUCACAAAAGAAAAGGAGAUGAGGGCUGGACCAACAUUAAGGAUGAACUGGAGACGAGGAAAUGAUCGGGACGAGUAAAAGCUGCUUCAAACAG